rnacentral:rRNA from 1 species
CCUACGGGAGGCAGCAGUAGGGAAUCUUCGGCAAUGGGGGCAACCCUGACCGAGCAACGCCGCGUGAGUGAAGAAGGUUUUCGGAUCGUAAAACUCUGUUGUUAGAGAAGAACGUUAAGUAGAGUGGAAAAUUACUUAAGUGACGGUAUCUAACCAGAAAGUGACGGCUAACUACGUGCCAGCAGCCGCGGUAAU